rnacentral:rRNA from 1 species
GAUGAACGCUGGCGGCGUGCCUAAUACAUGCAAGUCGAACGCACAGCGAAAGGUGCUUGCACCUUUCAAGUGAGUGGCGAACGGGUGAGUAACACGUGGACAACCUGCCUCAAGGCUGGGGAUAACAUUUGGAAACAGAUGCUAAUACCGAAUAAAACUCAGUGUCGCAUGACACAAAGUUAAAAGGCGCUUUGGCGUCACCUAGAGAUGGAUCCGCGGUGCAUUAGUUAGUUGGUGGGGUAAAGGCCUACCAAGACAAUGAUACAUAGCCGAGUUGAGAGACUGAUCGGCCACAUUGGGACUGAGACACGGCCCAAACUCCUACGGGAGGCUGCAGUAGGGAAUCUUCCACAAUGGGCGAAAGCCUGAUGGAGCAACGCCGCGUGUGUGAUGAAGGCUUUCGGGUCGUAAAGCACUGUUGUGUGGGAAGAACAGCUAGAAUAGGGAAUGAUUUUAGUUUGACGGUACCAUACCAGAAAGGGACGGCUAAAUACGUGCCAGCAGCCGCCGUAA